UUUUUUAGAAAUGAAUUUAAUUCAUACAUCUUAUUUAAUUUCUGUUGUUUAAAUAUCUUUUUUAUUUGAUGUUAAGAUUAAGGGGGAUUAGCUCCUUGUUUUAUUUUUAUAAUUAUCUUUUUUAUUUAGUUUUGUGGAUUUUAUGGUGAUUUUCAAUUUGAUUAUGUUAAAAUUUUAUUUUUUCUUUUAUUUAUUUAUUGUAGUUUAAUUUGUUUAUUGGAAUGUUUUCUUUAUCUUUGGUUUGUAUAGUAAUUAUUGUGUAAUUAGUAAAUCUUGCUUUUCUACAGUGUAGCGUUCGAUGUUAAUUUCUUUUUAGGAAUUAGGCAAAAUUUUCGUGUCCGCCUGUUUAACAAAAACAUCUUUUCUCGUUAGUUUUUGAAGUAUAGCCUGCCCACUGACAGCGAGUUGAAGGGCCGCGGUAUUUUGACCGUGCAAAGGUAGCAUAAUCAUUAGUUCUUUAAUUGUGAUCUGGUAUGAAUGGCUUGACGAGACACGAGCUGUCUUAAUAGAAUUGUUUAUUGAAUUUGGUCUUUAAGUUAAAAUACUUAAAUGUUUUUAUGGGACGAGAAGACCCUAUAGAGUUUGACAAUUUGCUUAUUUUAUAUUUUAUUAGUUUGUUUCUAUUUAUUUAAUAGGUUAUAUUGUUUUGUUGGGGUGAUGGGAGGAAUAAUUCUAACUCCUCUUUGUUUAGUAUAUUUAUAUAUAUUAUUUGAUCC
rnacentral:rRNA from 1 species